CACGUAGGGUGCGAGCGUUGUCCGGAAUUAUUGGGCGUAAAGAGCUCGUAGGCGGUCCGUCACGUCGGAUGUGAAAUUCCAGGGCUCAACCCUGGACCUGCAUUCGAUACGGGCGGACUAGAGUUCGGUAGGGGAGACUGGAAUUCCUGGUGUAGCGGUGAAAUGCGCAGAUAUCAGGAGGAACACCGGUGGCGAAGGCGGGUCUCUGGGCCGAUACUGACGCUGAGGAGCGAAAGCAUGGGGAGCGAACAGG
rnacentral:rRNA from 1 species